CCUACGGGCGGCUGCAGUGGGGAAUAUUGGACAAUGGGCGAAAGCCUGAUCCAGCCAUGCCGCGUGUGUGAAGAAGGCCUUCGGGUUGUAAAGCACUUUCAGUGGGGAAGAAAGCCUUGGGGCUAAUACCCUCGAGGAAGGACAUCACCCACAGAAGAAGCACCGGCUAACUCCGUGCCAGCAGCCGCGGUAAUACGGAGGGUGCGAGCGUUAAUCGGAAUUACUGGGCGUAAAGCGCGCGUAGGCGGUCUGAUAAGCCGGUUGUGAAAGCCCCGGGCUCAACCUGGGAACGGCAUCCGGAACUGUCAGGCUAGAGUGCAGGAGAGGAAGGUAGAAUUCCCGGUGUAGUGGUGAAAUGCGUAGAGAUCGGGAGGAAUACCAGUGGCGAAGGCGGCCUUCUGGACUGACACUGACGCUGAGGUGCGAAAGCGUGGGUAGCAAACAGGAUUAGAUACCCGUGUAGUC
rnacentral:rRNA from 1 species